rnacentral:rRNA from 1 species
UGUAGUCUCAACAAUGAUGCAUACAUGUCAACUAUGGGUGUUGGCUCCAACAAUUCACAUUGGUCUCAAACCAAUGACAUCCACUUUGAAGACAAUGAGUUCGAGGUGGACGAGGAGGGUGAGGGCAUUGUCGACGCGCUGAAAGGAAGAGCCGGCAAUUACACCAACACCGAUGACAUCUUACUAUGCAAUACUUGGUUGCAAGUGUCGAGGGAUCCAUCCACUAGUAGAAAAAGGGCCUUUAGUCCCGGUUCAUAA